AGUGAACGCUGGCGGUAGGCCUAACACAUGCAAGUCGAACGGCAGCACAGUAAGAGCUUGCUCUUACGGGUGGCGAGUGGCGGACAGGUGAGGAAUACAUCGGAAUCUACUUUUUCGUGGGGGAUAACGUAGGGAAACUUACGCUAAUACCGCAUACGACCUACGGGUGAAAGCAGGGGAUCUUCGGACCUUGCGCGAUUGAAUGAGCCGAUGUCGGAUUAGCUAGUUGGCGGGGUAAAGGCCCACCAAGGCGACGACCCGUAGCUGGUCUGAGAGGAUGAUCAGCCACACUGGAACUGAGACACGGUCCAGACUCCUACGGGAGGCAGCAGUGGGGAAUAUUGGACAAUGGGCGCAAGCCUGAUCCAGCCAUACCGCGUGGGUGAAGAAGGCCUUCGGGUUGUAAAGCCCUUUUGUUGGGAAAGAAAAGCAGCAGGUUAAUACCCCGCUGUUCUGACGGUACCCAAAGAAUAAGCACCGGCUAACUUCGUG
rnacentral:rRNA from 1 species